AUUGAACGCUGGCGGCAUGCCUUACACAUGCAAGUCGAACGGCAGCAUGGAGAGCUUGCUCUCUGAUGGCGAGUGGCGAACGGGUGAGUAAAGCAUCGGAACGUACCGUGUAGUGGGGGAUAACGUAGCGACAGUUACGCUAAUACCGCAUACGCACUGAGGUGGAAAGCAGGGGAUCGCAAGACCUUGCGCUAUACGAGCGGCCGAUGUCAGACUAGCUAGUUGGUAGGGUAAAGGCCUACCAAGGCGACGAUCUGUAGCGGGUCUGAGAGGAUGAUCCGCCACAAUGGGAGUGAGAAAAGGCCCAGACUCCGCGGGGCGGCAGCAGUGGGGAAUUUUGGACAAUGGGGGCAACCCUGAUCCGGCCGUGCCGCGUGAGUGAAGAAGGCCUUCGGGUUGUAAAGCUCUUUCGGCCGGGAAGAAAUCGCACAGGCUAAUACUCUGUGUUGAUGACGGUACCGGCAUAAGAAGCACCGGCUAACUACGUGCCAGCAGCCGCAGUAA
rnacentral:rRNA from 1 species